UAAAAUGCAUAAAUAAGUGAUUUAGAUAGAGAAGCUUAAAAUUUCACUGGUCAAAAUGUCCAAAUGAGAGAUUUCUUGGAAAAUAUCGAGUUUGCAAGUACAUGAAUGUAGUAGAGAAAUGACAGGAGUUCAGUCUUUGACUGUAAUUCCAUCAGGAUUCAGACUGACUAAAGAGGAGCGUGACAGAGGUUUUUGUACAACGGCUUCAUAGGAAUGUAUCACUGUGGUACACUUUUGGUGGAGGCUCCAAACUCAUUGUGAAAACUGGUCCGGUGGUGAAGCCCUCCGUGUCUCUGCUCCCUCCCUCCUCUCUGCAGCUCUCUGAGGGAUCGGCCUCGCUGCUCUGCCUGCUCUCGGCCUAUUCUCCACAGGGGGCGCAGCUCAGCUGGACCGUGGACGGUGCCGAGGUGAACGAGGGGGUUCUGACCAGCACAGAAGAACAGAAGAAUGGCUUGUACAGCCGCAGCAGCACCCUGACCCUCAGCAAAGAACGCUGGGAAGAGGCCGAGGUGUUCAGCUGUACCGUCUCCCUCCACGACACCACUCAGAUCACCUCGUUCCGAAAGAGCCGCUGUGACGUCCACUAGAAUUCAAGCGUACACUUUAAAACAUGCUUAGCAGUCUGAGAUGGUGUCACUGGUGUAGCUAUGCUGAAAUAAAGCUUCAAUGUGGAAA